rnacentral:rRNA from 1 species
AGGAUAAACGCUGGCGGCGUGCCUAACACAUGCAAGUCGAACGCCCUACGCAAGUAGGGAGUGGCGGACGGGUGAGGAACACGUGGGUUAUCUGCCUUUCGGUGAGGAAUACCAGCGAGAAAUCGCUGACAAUACCGCAUACGGUUCUUUCGAGAGGAAGAACGAAAGUCGUAAGACGCCGGGAGAUGAGCCUGCGCCCGAUUAGUUUGUUGGUGGGGUAAAAGCCUACCAAGACUGCAAUCGGUAGCUGGUCUGAGAGGACGAUCAGCCACACUGGGAUUGGGAACGGCCCAGACUCCGUACGGGGGGCAGCAGUGAGGAAUUUUCGUCAAUGGGGGAAACCCUGAACGAGCAACGCCGCGUGCAGGAAGAAGGUUUUCGGAUCGUAAACUGUCUUUUCUGUGGGAAGAGGAACGGACGGUACCACAGGAAGAACGCCCCGGCUAACUACGUGCCAGCAGCCGC